UUCUUGUGAUGAUGGGAGGUGACAACAUGCCUACAUGAUGAGAUGAAGCAAAGUGAAUGAUGCAGGCAUUGUGACAUGGUGUUAGGCUACUAUUGACCGUCUGACAAAGAGGAUCACCUCCUUCUGGACCAUGGUUUACCACAGCGAUGGUCAAGAAAUUUCUACAACCUUCUCUGGUCCAGCACACUUUACCCAUUCUGGCCUGGCCCAAAAUAAAGGGUAACUUGCGUUUCUUCUUUGGAGAAAUAUCUCCUCGCUUGCUACUAAGACCUACAGGAGACUGAACCCAUGACUAUGGCACAAGUGAACUUCACACUAUGAAAUAAAAAGACCUGGGCACAUCGCAUGAUAAGGUGUAUAAUGGCAAUCCAACACCAAGUGGAAAGGAUAAAUAACAUGUCGGAAUCAAGAAGUUCUGAAGUCACAAAUAAUUUGCUUCAGAAGUGGUUCAGGCCCUCUGGUGCUGUACCCUGUGACCCCUUCUCUUCUUCUAUCAGCAUUAAUACCUCAGGGGGAUUUUGACUGGGUGCAUUGACUUGGUGAUCCCUUUUUGUUUCUAUUCUUCCCACAGUUAGAAUACAGGAGUUCAA